GUAGGAGACGGCCGACAGCCAGUCGGUCACCGAGAGGAACACCAGCAGCCUCCGCGGGGUGGUCCUCAGGUCCGUCCAGAUAAUGUGUGUGAGGAUGAUGAGAGAGGAGCCCAGGACGGACAGCGCGCAGGUUGCUUCUUGGAGGAGUGCCGCAUAUCCUCGACAGCAGCAGUCAUUUGUAGAAGUGUGCUGACUCCUGGCCUACAUUCGCCGCUGCCGUCAUGCUACAGUCAGAAACGUGUCGAGCACGCAGGGGCAAAGACAGAUAAUAAACCGUCUCCUCCAGAGGUGCUUUUUCAACGCCCGUGUCUUCGUAUGAAGGUAUUCAGCUGCUGCAGUGUCUCUACAGGGGGAGUCCUGACUCGUGCACUGCUUCCGAUAAAAAAAAAAAAACCUCACACACACACUCAACCUGUGAAAGGGCUGAACUCUCUAAGAGCAGCUGUACACUGGGAGAUUUACAAAGACACAGAGUAAAAAAGAUGAAAAUUUUGCUUUUUUGAAGACUUUCAUCAAAUGUGAUGUUUUAAUUAAUAACUGUGUACAGUGCUAAAAGACAGAUCUCCUCUUACAGGUUUCAAUUUUUGAUUUUUAGUCACAUUAACAAAUUUUAAAACUAGUCAGGAAUAUUUGAGUAUUUACAAAAUGCCUUUUUCGAACACCACCACACAAAGGUGAACACAAAAGCGUGUAUUAUAUUAUAUCUGCUGUAAAACUAACAUGCAUUUUAUAUAUAUAUAUAAAAAAAAGCACUUCAAACAUGAGGCGGCAUUGCUGAUCCAGGAUAUGGAAGAUUUGUUUUCUACCUGAAAAUCCUGAGGGAAAACGUCCAGCCAUCAGAUUGUGAUGUUGAGCUCAGGCACACUGGGGUUGUACAGUAUAACAAUCAUUCGACGCUGUCCAGCAAGACCACCUCUGAAUAGAAAAAAAUAAAGGUAUUGGAGUGGGCUGGUCAAAGUCUGUCUGAACUGGCUGUUCAGACUCAAAAAUCCUCCUGUGUGGCUGAAUUAGAGCAGUUCUGCAAAGAAAUGUUCAAAAUUUCUAAAAAGUGAUUCAAAAAAUCUCACGACUCCUUACUGCCAAAGUUUGAUGGCAUUUGCCAAGAGUCGGGGGAGAAAUUACUUUCUCACAUGAGGUCAUUUGGACAGCUUUUUUCCCCCUCUAAAUAAAUUAAAUUAUUAUUUGGAAACUGCCUUUUCACUCUGCGUAUUUCUGUUUCACAUUAAAAUUGUUUAAUGAUCUGAAACUUUUUGAGUUAAACCAGAAAAGUGUGGUUUUUAAUUUGUAAAUCACGGCGCAAAUCCAGGUGGUGCAGUUGGUAGCACUGUUGUUGCCUUGCAGCAAAAAGGCCCUGGGUUUGAAUCCCAGCAUUUGGCUCUUUCUGUGUGAAGUUUGCAGGUUCUCCCUGAGCAUUCAUGGAUUCUCUCCAAGUACUCUGACUUUCUCUCACAGUCCAAAAACAUGAUCAGGUUUACUGGUUUCUCUAACUUGUCCUUUGGUGUGUGCAUGUUCUGUGGACUGCUAAUGCAACUCCUAAAAAAGGAUGAUGUAUAUUGCCUUGUUUUUUUCAUAAGAACUGUCUGUAGCUAAAAUGGAAAUAACUAGGAUCGCAUAAUCAUGAAUACUUCACACGAGGAUUGCAAACUUGCACCCUCAGAGACGCACUAGAAAGGAUUUCUGGCCAGAGACUGUACAUACAUACCUCCAGGUUUAAAUAAACAUCUCAUCAUGUGUGCUGUUUUGUACUGAGGAGACUGUGUGGCCCAUGCUGUGUUUUAGAAUGGAGGGAGGAAUACAAUAUUUUUUUUUCUCAUAUUAAGUCUGUUUUUUUCCCCCUAAGAAAAAUAUGUAAUUUUACAAGACUAAAUAUCAAGUGAAAUAAUCAUUCGUUGAGAACAUUGUAUUAUUUAGCCAAGCAUAAAAAAAAAA